CAGGGCUUUUAUUUUUCUAUGAGGAAACUGAGUUAGAGAGAAGUUAAAGAAGAGGUGGAAUGCGGACCUUGACCCCAAGUCUAUGCUUACAAAUAGUGGAUUGCCUCAUGCCAGCCUAGGGGGGCACAAGGUAUGAUUAUGGGAUGACUGUUGUCUUUUUAAAUAAAAAUAUCCCCCUUUUUGUAGUUUGACAUUUUAAUUUCAUUUCAGUUCACAUACACAUGAAUUCAAUCUCAUACAAAAUUUAAACAUAGAUAAAGAAUUCCAAUACAGAUCAAGACAAAUGUCCGCCUUCAGGAAGAGGCUGGCAAAAACACAUACAAUUUGCUCUCAAUCAAGUGUACAGUGUUCAAUGAGUAGAGAGUUUCAGUUUUCCAAGAUGAAAAAGUUCCAGAGACCCGCCUGGCGUUCACCACUGAUGUGUUUAAAAGCUUCCUACUGUCUCGAUAAGAAAGCUCCUAAGACUGUUGUUCUGUGACAGUGGGUUUCCUGGGCUGAGAUCCAGGGCGGGGCAAAUGCAGCAGUUCCCACCUUCUCUUAAAGGCUGCAAUGCCCUGAUGGAGAGUUCUGGUUGCCCCAAGGCCUUUUGCCAGCCGCUGGCCCACAGCUCUGUCCGCCUUUGUGUAAUAGGCAGGGCUGGGUGUGGACAUCUGGGUCUGAAGCCGAGCCCUGGCACUGCACACAUGUGGCCUGGGCAGAGCCCACUCUGUGCUGUGUUGCCCACUAAUGGUUUUUUGAUUUUAGCCUGACCACCAGUGUUUACACCAUGCAUCCUUUUGUCUUUUUUAUUUGUUUCAAGAAAAUAAAAUAUCUCUCAAGCAGACCGCCACCCACUGUGGCAGGGAUGCUGCUCUCUGUUCCCACACACUCCGCUUGGAGGGGGGCACACAGUAGACGCCCCAGAAGGAUGUGCCAGUGAGUUUAUUCCUCCUGCACUAUCCAAUAUGGCCAGGUGUGGUGGUUCAAAGUUAAAUGCAAAUUAUUUAAAAUUAAUGGCCAGGAGCCAGACCCAGGCCGCCUCACUCACCUUGUGACCACUGAAUCUCUGCUGGUUCUGCCACUGAAGGGAGACGCUUCAGGGUGAUUAUAUGGAGAUCAUGCUUCAGAAAGCUGAUUUAAAAAGU
rnacentral:lncRNA from 10 species